rnacentral:lncRNA from 1 species
AUUCUUGAAUGAAUAAAUAUAAUCGAGGUGCAAAUAAUUCAUAGAAAUAAACAAGGAACAACCUUGUAAAAACCCGAAAUAGGAUAGAAAGUCGGGCUAUGCCCCUUUGGAUCACAAGUUUUGUUUCAUGCUUCUAACAACCGACAUUCAUUGGCAUAAAUUAAGUAGUGAAGAGUCUAAGCUCGGUCAGGUAUAUCAUUUGAAAUUUAACAUGAAGAUCUUAAGUUGGGAAAACAAAAGACUGAUAUGAGUAAUUGCUACAGCGGAAGUCUAUCAUAGGAAUUUAUCGCUAGCCUCAGCUCCGUCCCGUCAGCACCGGCCAGCCAACCUGAAAACAUUUGAAAGUAUUUUUGGGCUAAGUACUAAUGUACUUAGUGGGCAUGCAUUUUCUGAAACAUUUCAUAUUUUAAUAAAGACAGUUUAUCCAAUCAUACUUGACAUGACUUAGAAGGUUUUAAAUUGAAAGAAGUACUUCUAAGCAUGUUAAAACAUUUUCUUUCAUUUGUGCGCAAAUGUCACACUCCCUUUCCGUUACUCGCUGUGAUCCCGGACCU